GGGGCUCAGUGGUAGAGCACCAGCUCUGCGUACAGAAAGCCCCAGGUUCAAUCCCUGGGAAAACCC